rnacentral:misc_RNA from 1 species
AAGAAACCUAAAAAUUUUUCUCAUAAAAUUUUCUUGAAGAUUGGACCACCUUCAAAAGGAAUUCUUUGAAUUCAUAUGUAGUAUCAAACUAAUCAUCCUCAUUAUUGAUUACCUUCCUGCAUAACUUCAACUCACCCUCAUGCCCUCCAUCAAAAUUUCAUUGCCCAAAUACCACUUCGCUUGUUAUGCGCCUAAGCACUACCUUGCUCUCCCCUAAAUGUUCUCCUUUUGGCCAUCCCGCCAUUUCAUACAAGACAAAUCCUACUUAUACAAAAAAACCCUCACCACUUUAGCAACUUGAUUACAGAAAUAAGAAUAAAUAGAUAAAAAGUAUACUUCAUAUUUAAUUGAACUUGAUGUUGUAAAGUUGUAAUAGCAUGUUAUGAAAAGUCAAUCACUAU